CCUGUUCAUGCAACAACAACUUUAACCUGUCUCUGAAGCCUUUGGGGCGCCCGGGGGUUGGCCCAGCCGCGCUUGGAGGGGAAGCAAAAGCACGGGGAGAAUUUAUUGUUCUACAAUUUUGUUACACGCUUCCCAGGGUCGCUUUUCGCUGGAAAAUAUAUAAAAUACAUUAUAUAUAUAUAUAUAAACAAAUACGGUACUUUCUCACCCCAGCCGCCCUUGUAGCUCCCGGAGAGCCACUGGGCGGGCGGACCGGCCUCGAAAACGACCGCUGGGCGGAGCUACCCCUUCAAAAGCCUGACAGGACGGGCCGGCGCAGCCACAGGAAUCCUGAACUAAGCCAGCAGUUGGAGUUGGCGGCAGCAUGGAGUGCAGUCUGCCUGUUUUCGAUAAGCCCAAGGUUAUGGAUUUGGCUAUUCUAGAGUACCAGUUCUAGUGGUUAAAAUGUUGGAGUAGCAACAGAGAAACCCAAGUUCUAAUCCUGCCUUAGAUACAGAAGCCAGCUGGGCAAGUUUGGGCAAAUCCAUGCUUUCUUUCAGCCCUGGGGAACCCUAACUCAAAGGCAAACCACUUCAGAAAAUGUUGCUAAGGAAAUUACAGAAGCUUGUCCUUGCAACUGCUAGAAGUCAAGCCUGACUCAAAGGAGAUAAAAAAAAAGAAUUUCUCAGAAUUGCUGAUGUAUCCUAAAAACAAAAAAAAAUGCCUCACACAGAUUUAGUAAUAUCAUCUAGAAAAUUCUUGAUCAUUAUGAACAGACAAAAUUUACAGACAUUUGUAUCCCCUGCAGAAUUAACUGGGGAGAGAUAAAGGGGCCAAAGUGAUGGAUGCUACUAUAGAUUGAAAUCUUGUCUCUGUGCACAACCUCCCAUUUACACCCUACUUCCUCUACCCUUGUUUUAUAGAUGCUAUGAUUGCUUCAUGGAUUUAGCUAAAAUAUCUAAGCAUGUUGUUAAUUUUUGGCCCCAUAUUGGUUCAUAGAAAAAUUCAUUAACUGCCAACAAUUAAAUCAUGAAAAUCAUAUACUGAAACUUUCAAAUUUGUAUUAGAUGGGCAGUUGUUUCCGUUAGGAUACUGACUUUUUUAGAAUGUUAAAUAUGUGGUACGCAGCACAGAUUGUAAAAAAAAUGUUCUGGUUCUUUUAAUGCAAACAGGC
rnacentral:lncRNA from 1 species